UACGUAGGGGGGCAAGCGUUGUCCGGAUUUAUUGGGCGUAAAGAGCGUGUAGGCGGGCUAGAUAGGUCCGUUGUGAAAACUCGAGGCUCAACCUCGAGACGUCGAUGGAAACCAUCUGGCUAGAGUCCGGGAAGAGGAGAGUGGAAUUCCUGGUGUAGCGGUGAAAUGCGCAGAUAUCAGGAAGAACACCCGUGGCGAAGGCGGCUCUCUGGUACGUGACUGACGCUGAGACGCGAAAAGCGUGGGGAGCAAACAGG
rnacentral:rRNA from 1 species